rnacentral:tRNA from 1 species
GCCGGAGUGGCGGAAUUGGCAGACGCACAGGACUUAAAAUCCUGCGAGACUUAUACUCUCGUACCGGUUCGAUCCCGGUUUCCGGCA